rnacentral:rRNA from 1 species
CUGGCUCAGGACGAACGCUGGCGGCGUGCCUAAUACAUGCAAGUCGAGCGAACAGAGAAGGAGCUUGCUCCUUCGACGUUAGCGGCGGACGGGUGAGUAACACGUGGGCAACCUACCUUAUAGUUUGGGAUAACUCCGGGAAACCGGGGCUAAUACCGAAUAAUCUGUUUCACCUCAUGGUGAAACACUGAAAGACGGUUUCGGCUGUCGCUAUAGGAUGGGCCCGCGGCGCAUUAGCU